AGGACGAACGCUGGCGGCGUGCUUAACACAUGCAAGUCGAGCGGAAAGGCCCUUCGGGGUACUCGAGCGGCGAACGGGUGAGUAACACGUGAGCAAUCUGCCCUUAGCUUCGGGAUAGCUCCGGGAAACCGGAAUUAAUACCGAAUACGACCACGGCCGACAUCUGCUGUGGUGGAAAGGAUUCCGGCUAAGGAUGGGCUCGCGGCCUAUCAGCUAGUUGGUGGAGUAACGGCCCACCAAGGCGACGACGGGUA
rnacentral:rRNA from 1 species